GUGUGUUUCUUUGUCAAUUAUGUUCUCCUAUUUAUUUAUAUUGUAGUCCUGUAAUGUUGUGUUGUCAUUCUAAUGUUAUAUUUCACAUGGCCAUAAAAGAGGGAGGUUUGGCAUGCCACAAAACCAGGUUCACCCACCAUUUUUUCCUUUAAAAAUGUCCUGUACCAAGUCAGGAAUAUGGCCAUUGUUAUAUUAUAGUUCGUUUAUGUGUGUUCUACAUUUUAACGUUGUGUUUCCGUUGUGUCGUUUGUUUUCUCUUAUUUGUGAGUGUGAAUUCACAUUACUAUAAGACGUGUCACGGUACUUAUCUAUCCCAAAUUCAUGUAUUUGGUUUUGAUGUUAUAUUUGUUAUUCUCAUAGGAUUUUGUCUAAUGCUUAGUCCGUUUCUGUGUGUGUUACAUUUUAAUGUUGUGUCGUUGUUCUCCUCUUAUAUUUAAUGCGUUUCCCUCAGUUUUAGUUUGUUACCCCGAUUUUGUUUUUUUGUCCAUGGAUUUAUGAGUUUUGAACAGCGGUAUACUACUGUUGCCUUUAUU
rnacentral:lncRNA from 1 species